GAUGAACGCUGGCGGCGUGCCUAAUACAUGCAAGUCGAGCGAACAGACGAGGAGCUUGCUCCUCUGACGUUAGCGGCGGACGGGUGAGUAACACGUGGAUAACCUACCUAUAAGACUGGGAUAACUUCGGGAAACCGGAGCUAAUACCGGAUAAUAUAUUGAACCGCAUGGUUCAAUAGUGAAAGACGGUUUUGCUGUCACGUAUAGAUGGAUCCGCGCCGCAUUAGCUAGUUGGUAAGGUAACGGCUUACCAAGGCAACGAUGCGUAGCCGACCUGAGAGGGUGAUCGGCCACACUGGAACUGAGACACGGUCCAGACUCCUACGGGAGGCAGCAGUAGGGAAUCUUCCGCAAUGGGCGAAAGCCUGACGGAGCAACGCCGCGUGAGUGAUGAAGGUCUUCGGAUCGUAAAACUCUGUUAUUAGGGAAGAACAAAUGUGUAAGUAACUAUGCACGUCUUGACGGUACCUAAUCAGAAAGCCACGGCUAACUACGUG
rnacentral:rRNA from 1 species